rnacentral:lncRNA from 12 species
GGCAGGACUGGGGAGUCUCACUCACCCUCUCUGGCUGCCUGUCGCCCAGCGUGGGACAGGCGGGAAACAUCCCCUGCUCUCCCACACACACUUCGAGGCUUCAGUCUCCUACAGGAUCUCAUCUAAUCCUCACAACAACCUGGGAGUAGAUCCUUAUUACCUUAGCUUCACAACUGCAGGAGCCACCUCGGAGGUAAGGGGCUUGCCCUGGGUCACAGAGCUGGUGCCUGGACCAGCCCUCUGCCAGGACCUUCGCUGCAUAUUUUCGGCUCCUGCCCGCUCGGCUCCCAGCACCACUGGCUCUUGGUGGCUAUCAUGGGGAGAUGGGGGGCCCCACACCCCGCAGUUUAGGUCUCAAUGCAGGGCCCAGGAUGGGGCAGAGAGAGAGCGAGCCAUGUUUUGGAGUCACCAGAGCUCCCGGGGAAGACCAAGGUCCAGCGUCAGUCCCAGCCAGGAAAACCAGGAGAGAAGAACUAGACUCGUCUUGGGGGUUGCGUUCUCUGUGCUGCUCUUGGGAGGCGCAGGUGCCUCUGGUGUCGCCCACUCACCCAGCGCGGGCCCGUCCGGUCUGGGUGUGUGGCCAGUGCAGCAGGCAGGAUCCCAGGGACCCAGACUCAGUAACCCGACCGCCUGGCAGAGUGUGGUGCUCCCUGCGUGCGCACUCAAGGGACAGCAGCAAGCCAUCAUCCCAAAUACGACCAGAGUCACUCUCCGCCACCUUCAGGCCUAAUCUUGGUUCCAUUUGAGAUUGAGGCUUGUCCUUUUAGGCCUGUUACAAGGAUUAAAAUAGCUAAAAUCUUUGAAGAACAGAGUGACCGCCUGGUAAGGAGCCACCACACCCACUCAGCAGGCCACGGCCCCUGCCAUACCAUGGACUUGCCCUGUGGGAGCCCUUGCUGCUUUCAAGUUCACAAAUCCAGUAGUUACCUACCACCUCCCCACCCCUUCACCCCCCCACCCCGUGCCUGCCACAAUGCCCUCCCUUGACCUGACCUCUGAGCCUUCUGUUCAGGACUCCAUCCUCAAUUCCCUUCUCCCCUUAUUCCAUAUCUUGGCGAGCUCAUCCACCCCCAGACCUCCACCUGCCCUGCUAUAACCAGUCUCCUGGAUCUUUCCAGAAACCUCCACCUGGAUAUCCCUCAAGCAUCUCAAAGCCAAUUUGUCUCAAACACAAGAUUCUAAUCCUGCUGCACCUACUCCUCUGUACUGCCCAGGCCAGAGACUUGGGUGUCAUCCUCAACCCUCUUACCCACAGACUGUCACCAAGGCUGUGCUUCCAGAUUGGCUGCCCCGCUGCCCUAGGACCAGCGCCUUGGCCCAUGCUCUUCUACUUUUUCCUGUCUUGAUCAGCCUCCUUGCUCUCUGUCUCCACAGUCUACAGGGUUUGCUGUUUGCAAAGUUCCUUUUCCCAUUGUCCUCAGCAUCUAAUCCCAACUCCUGAUUCUGACAGGGCCCUGCCACCUUAGCCCCAGGCACACAGAAUUACUUCAGCUGGAGUCCUUGACACAGCUUAGAACGUUGGGAGUGGAACCAUAUUCCCAGGGACCCUAAUAGAAGCAGUGCCAGGCCGUAGGAUGAUCAGAAGAAUAGCUAAGGCUUGGGUAUGUGUGUGUGAACUGGAUCAGCAAACAGGCUCUGCAAACAGACUCUACAAACAGGCUCUGCAAACAGGCAUACCUGAGUCUGGGGCUUGGCUCUGCACUUGCCCAGUCUGACUUUGCUCUGUUACUCAUCCUCUCUGGCUCU